UACGAAGGCCCCAAGCGUUAUCCGGAAUUACUGGGUGUAAAGGGUCUGUAGGUGGUUUUUUAAGUCUUUCCGUGAAACUUCGGGGCUCAACCCCGAAUUGCGGGAGAAACUGGAAAACUUGAGUGUGGGAGAGGCAAGCAGAACGAUAAGAGUAGGGGUGCAAUCCGUUGAUACUUAUCAGAAUACCAAAAGCGAAGGCAGCUUGCUGGAACACUACUGACACUGAGAGACGAAAGCGUGGGGAGCAAAAGGG
rnacentral:rRNA from 1 species